AUCCUGGCUCAGAACGAACGCUGGCGGCGUGGAUAAGACAUGCAAGUCGAACGCUGAUUAGAGGGUAGCAAUAUUCUCUAGUCGGAGUGGCGCAAGGGUGCGUAACACGUGGGUAAUCUGCCGUGAAGUUUGGGAUAACUCGCUGAAAGGCGAGCUAAUACCGGAUGUGAUGAUAAUUUGGCAUCGAAUGAUCAUUAAAGCUGGGGACCGAAAGGCCUGGCACUACACGAUGAGCCCGCGGCCUAUCAGCUAGUUGGUGAGGUAACGGCCCACCAAGGCUAAGACGGGUAGCUGGUCUGAGAGGACGACCAGCCACACUGGAACUGAGACACGGCCCAGACUCCUACGGGUGGCAGCAGUCGAGAAUUUUUCACAAUGGGCGCAAGCCUGAUGGAGCGACGCCGCGUGGGGGAUGAAGGGUUUCGAUCCGUAAACCCCUGUCAUUUGCGAACAAUGGUUAAUCAAUAACACUGGUUAACUUGAUAGUAGCGGAAGAGGAAGGGACGGCUAACUCUGUGCCAGCAGCCGCGGUAAUACAGAGGUCCCAAGCGUUGUUCGGAUUCACUGGGCGUAAAGGGUGCGUAGGUGGCCGUGGAAGUUCGGUGUGAAAGCUCGGAGCUCAACUCCGAAAAGUCAUUGAAUACUCUACGGCUUGAGGGUCGGAAGGGGAGACUGGAAUUCUCGGUGUAGCAGUGAAAUGCGUAGAUAUCGAGAGGAACACCGGUGGCGAAAGGCAAGUCUCUGGAAGAACCCCUGACCCUGAGGCACGAAAAGCUAGGGGAAGCAAACCGGGAUUUAAUACCCCGGGUAAUCCCAACUUGGUAAAACGGGGCAGGUUUGCUGUAAGAAGAAUCGAACCCCUUUUGGGGCGAAGCUAACGCGCUAAACGUGCCGCCUGGGGAGUAC
rnacentral:rRNA from 1 species